rnacentral:lncRNA from 1 species
GAUUCUCUUCUUGCCGAAUCUCCUGAAAAACAAUGGUCCAGUUGUCCAAGAAAUCCCCGGUUGGUCUUUUGGGGGUGCACUUCUGGACCAAGAGAUUAUUAUCCUCAUAGACAAUCUGGGCUAUCGCUCUUGUGAGCCUUCCACUUUUCAGAGAGGUUAGAGCUGCUCCAGUUGGGCUGUGUAGGCUCAUUUUCCACGUGAAGAAAGAAAUUGCCCGGUCUUAGCGGGAGAUAUCUCUCAAAAUUCUAUAGUGUUUUGUCAGGAUUUCAGUUUCUAACCUCUACGACAAAAGCACAACAGAGAUAACUCCUUGUCCUUCUCUAAGUCCUGGAUGACCAACUCAAUGUUCAGUGGAAUGAUAUUUUUCUCUGACUCAACUGAUAUAAAACAACUCAAAGAUUUAUGCAGCACAUCACACCAGCAUUUUAAAAGUCCAUAAUAUAGAUAAAUAAAAUUAAAAUAAAUAUAAAACACAACUCCAGACAGCACAAUAAAAUACAAUAAACUAGUUUAAAAUAAAAGCUAAUACUAAAAUCACUAACAUAUAAAAUAAAUUGACAUAUAAAUCUAUACCACACUCAUUCCAUUGAACGUAGACGUCUGGGAUAUUUUAGGAUUAAAAACAAAAAAAAUACCAUGCAUUCUAAGACCAAUAACGGCGAGGUUUAUCUCUCUGCCUUUUCUAACAUGAUUAGAUGAAUGGCUUUAUGAACGCAAACUGACUAAAGCACUAUAGACCCACCUAAAAACAUCUGGGGAAAAUUCUGCCCAACUUCAAAGCAAUUUCGCUUCCUGUGCUUUGUUUAAGAAUGUCUGACCCGCUGAGUAUUUGUCCUCAAGGUUUUGAAUCGGUACAGAUUUCGGAGGCUGCUACUCUGGACUGGAACUUUCCUGGAUGAGCAAGGAGAGAAUCGGCAUUCCUAAAUCCAGGAAAGAAAUGAGGUGAAUGGACAGCGGACCAAGAAGAAGAAUUCACAGCAUCGUGCCUGCCGUCAAAGCACCCCAACAUUCCAGGACCCAAGGCCUCCAGCCAAGCCAGCUCUAACUUCUUCCUGGACUCUCAACACCCCCAGGGAUAACAUCCUGAAGUUCUCCUGCCUCCACCCGAAGGACCCCAGCCCUCCAACCAAGCCAGCUGCAACUUCUUCCUGGACUCUCACCACUGCAAGGGAAACCAUCCUGAAGCACUCCUGA